rnacentral:lncRNA from 8 species
UAGGAGCAAUGAGAUGGUACCGGCUUCAACUGCUGUCAGAGGGUGGCGCUCUAUACCAAAGAAACAGACUUUCCAAGAAAACCCAUCAGCCAUGCUGUGCCUUCUAGAUGCAGCCAUGAUAAAUUUACUGUCGUUUGUAAUGAAAUGAACUGUGCUUUUCAGACCUUGAUCAAGGACAAAGAGACUUAAAAUAUUUUCUCUUGAGGUUAAAUUAAUGUUGCUUUUCAACGAGUGUUAACUGGACUAUUGGACCGACCUGUGAUAAUUAUUUUCUGUAGGGGGCAAAUGACAGACUUUUAAUUACUGCCAUAAUGUCUUAACACCUUCAGUGACAGUAAAGAGGGCUGGAACAGGGAAAAGUCCGUUUUCAUAGGCUUAUACCAGUUAUUUUGAGGAAGUAACUAAUAAUGCUCUUUAUAAUAUAGGGGAAGACGUCUGCCACUACAGAAUAGUUUCCAACAAAGUUGAGGCCAAGACAUAGGACACUUGUACGGUUUUCUUGCAUUCAUUAAAGUUUGUCCCUCUGUCGAACUUUCACCCCUCGAACUCCCUCCUUUCAUUGGACAAAGUGCAGAAAUAAGAAAAGAAAGCUUUUUCUGCCUCAAUUGUAAUGAGAUAGUUUACAACUAGACAUUUUUACUUUAUGGCAAUCCGCUUGUGUCGACCCUUUCUGCUAAAACUAAUCCAUAAUCUCCCAGCAAAAUUGCAUUAUUGGACUUGGUUGCUGUGUAACGAAUAUGACUUCAGUUCUGUUCAAAUUCUGUAAAGAUCUGCAAUGAAUAUUGUUUACCCAGCAGGUGGAUAUGACGUCACGGACAUGGAACAUCAGAAAAUAACAACAUCCAAAUACGCGAUUCCGUUUUCUUUUAUAGCGCAUUAAAUUGUGAUAACAUUAGAAGGAGCUCGCUCUCUUAUUUGAGACAGAAGGUGUUGUGAAACUCUAGAUUUUUCUCCCUGUAACGGCACUCUCCGUGAAUGCAGCAGAGAUAUCUUCUCGUAGUUAAAGUUAGUCCCCCCAAGCGGAGUAAUAUUGUUAGUAUUUACAGUGUGGUUGUUGCAUGCUUUCUUGGUACACAACAUCGCGUGUACAGUUCAUUAUCUCUAGCAGAGAAUUGUCUACUGCGUCCACCUACCAUUGUCGAUUCCGUGUCAUCUGUGAACUCCUGAUGAUCCCACCUCCAAAGAACCUAAGCUGAAUUCUCAUUGGAAGAAUGGAGCGCCAGUCUUUCCUACACGAGUGAACACGGUAAGUGCACAUUUUUACUCUUAUCUACAUCUACCCUAAAAUUACUUUUAAUUUCAUAUGUGUGUUCUGCCUCUCUGUGAACUAGUCUGCAGCACAGUAGGAUUUAACUUAUUAUGCUAAUUUGCAUCUCAUUAUAAUUAGGUUAAUCUAGAUACCAACAGAUACUCAAAAAGUAUUUUCAAGAAUUGUUCAUUGUUCAGGCCAAAUAAUGUUCCAUUUUUAUUUAACCAAAUUGCAUUAUGACUUUAAAUAAUGAAACAACUUAAAAGAAUGUGUACAUUUAUCAAGACAUUUAUCAUAUUGAAACUUCGUUGAACAUAUUUAAAACUAUGUUGAUGCAUUGCAGAAAAUAUUACUACACAUGUAUGAAUCUUGAAUGGUGACAUAAAUUAGACAUUAUACUGAACAUGUUUUCUCUUUGUUUUGUCAAUUGGCAGUCUUUCAAUUUUAAUGACUAUCAUUCAAAAUGAUCACCUUGUGUCAUAUUGGCAAAAUCAAUGAAAUGUAGCAAUCAAAACAAAAAAUACACACUUUACUCGCCGAAUGAUACACCGGUCGUAGUAGAAUCGGCAGCUUUGUGUGUGUGACUGUCCUUUGUUUUUAACAUCUUUGGCAUGCUCUAGUCUCGCUGUCCCUCUCCUCUGUCUGCCAUGGGUGCUCUGAUUGGCUGAAUACUUUCUGCACUCUAGUCUGGCUGACUGCCAGGGCCUGCCUUGCCACUGAUCAGAAGUGAACGUGACAUUUGUGCGGAGGUAAUGGAAUCUGUGUGCAAUUAAAUCUCCCGACUGUGAAGAAGAAUCUAUCUCCCCCUCCCUUCCCCUAUCCCAUCAGCAGGGGGGUGGCCGUGAUGAUGAAAACGUCCCAGCAGGUCCCUCUCCCCGUCCUGCCCCGCCAGUACCCCUUUCCUCUCUUCCAAUCUCUGUCAGGUUGCGUUUUUUAACUUCUCCCUGCCUCUGCCUUGGUUUCUGCCCAGCAAUUAAUUACAGCAAACGUCAAUUAAAAAUCUCCCCCAAAUAUUGUUGGAGAAUUAAAUUUCAAUUACAGAAAUUACAUUAUAGGAAAACAACAUUAACAUUGAUUUAAUGAAUUCUGCUGAAGGUGACAGUUGUUAUUUUGUGGCAAAGCAUUGUGGGCCAUUCAACAUGUUUUGAUGUAAAUGUGAAAUGGAGGGAGUGGAAGAGGGGGGAGAUGGGCUGGUUUGGGGAGGAGUGGGUAGAGGGAGAGCGGACACAUACAUGGAUGAGAGGAGAAGAGGGGUAAAUCUCUCUAUCUCUCUGCCCCACUCUGCUGCUGUGCCACUCUACUUAACGCCUCAUUUGUGGUCUCUGUGGUCAAUGGUUUGAGUCUUUCGCUGUGCUGAUGGUGCACUUGUUCAUGGCUAAUACCACAGACCUCUAUGUCUGAAACCUAAUGGGUAUGUAUCCUCAUCAAGAUCGCCCAUAAACAUAAAAGGGUUCCUCCCAGGCAUACUUGAAAAGGAGUACCUAUCAGAGUUCCUUGUCCUCAGUGGGUGGACUGGGAGAGAGGCAGGAUUUCCAGGUCAAGGGUCAUCUGCAGGCUGGAGCCAGGAGGGCAGGGCUUAAUCUGCUUGCCCAGAGGGUCCCCUGGCUUUGACAUGCAGUGCCUUCAUAAAGUAUUCAUUCCCCUUGAUUUAUUCCACAUUUUGUUGUGUUACAGCAUGAAUUCAAAAUGGAUUAAGUCGAUUAUUUUUUUUACCCCCUCACCCCUCACACACAAUACCCCAUAAUGACAAAGUGAAAACAUGUUUCACACCUGCCUAUAUAAGGUCACACAGUUGACAGUGUAGGUCAGAUCAGAAACUAUACCAUGAAAUCCAAUGAACUAUCCGUAGAUCUCAGAGAAUUGUGAUGAGGCAUAUAUCUGGGGAUAGGUAUAAAACAAUUUCUAGAGUGUUGAAAGUCUCCAAAAGCACAGUGGUCACAGUGGAACUAACCAGCCUCUGCCUAGAGCUGGUCGUCCGACCAAACUGAGCAACCGGGCAAGAAGGACCUUGGUCAGGGAGGUGACUAAGAAGCCAAUGAACAUUCUGACAGAACUACUGAGUUCCUUGGCUGAGAUGGGAGAACCUGCCAGAAGGACAACAGUCUCUACAGCACUUCACCAAUCUGGGAUUUAUGGGAGCGCAUGGAUAUUGCAAAAAGGCACAUGAGAGCAUGUCAAAAGAUUCUGUGGUCUGAUGAGACAAAAAUAGAUCUCUUUGGCCUCAAUGCAAAACCAGGUACCGCUCACCAUCCCUACCUGAAUCAUGGUGGUGGCAGCAUCAUGCUAUGGGGAUGAUUUUCAGCGGCAGGGACUGGGAGACUGGUAAGGAUAGAGGGAACAAUGAAUGGAGCCAAAUACAUUUGACAUUUUAAUAAUUUAGCAGACGCUCUUAUCCAGAGCGACUUACAGUAGUGAAUGCAUACAUUUCAUAAAAAAAAUUAUUCUGUGCUGGCCCCCUGUGGGAAUCGAACCCACAACCCUGGCGUUGCAAACACCAUGCGUUGCAAACACCAUGCUCUACCAACUGAGCUACAGGGAUGGCAGGCAAAUUCUUGAUGAGAACCUGCAAAUGACCUUAGACUGAGGCAAAGAUUUAUGUUCCAACAGGACAAUGACCCCGAGCAUACAGCCAACGCAACGCUGGAAUGGCUUCAGAACAAGAAUGUGAAAGUUGUGAGUGGCCCAGCUAAAGCCCAGACUUGAAUCACAUUGAAAAUCUGUGAAAAGACUUGAAUAUUGCUGUUCACUGCCUAUCCCCAUCUAACUUGGAGUGACUGCCUUUAAAAAGCAUCAAAUCCCUUUGAAAACUACAUAUAUGGCAUCGAAAUGAGUCAGAAACAGUUAUUCUAGUGUCAAAAUUGACUAUAAACUUUAAAUAGGAUCAUUUUUGUCAUAAAGUCUCAUCUAAAACAGAGUUUGGAAUAUCCGUGCCUCACAACGGGUAAAUUAAGGUUGGAUUUUGAUUUGACAGUGUCCAUUUGCCUACUAACAUUGUGUGAACAGCUGCAGUGAUUUCACUAUCAAAUAGCAUAGACAGCAUAGCAGCUCCGUAUGUUUACAUAAGACAACACGUUGUCCAUUUUUUUACUUAAGAAGUACUGCACCAAACACCUUUAGUUAGAUGUAAAAUUGCGCAACUAAAACAUCCUCGACAAAAACUUUAACUCAAGAAAUCUGUAAAAAAUGUUGUCUUAGAUUCAUUCUGGGGAUUUAGAGGAAGUGAAAUAGGCUUCCCUUCUAAUGGGGACAAAUAUCAUUAACCAAAUGUGGAAUUGGUCAGGAAACACACCUCCAAGACUUAAAUCUAGAAUCUGAGCAACAGAAAGCACCCGUGCCAAUCGGCAUGUUCAGUGGCUCU